UGGCGACCGGCGCACGGGUGAGUAACACGUAUCCAACCUGCCGAUGACUCGGGGAUAGCCUUUCGAAAGAAAGAUUAAUACCCGAUGGCAUAGUUCUUCCGCAUGGUAGAACUAUUAAAGAAUUUCGGUCAUCGAUGGGGAUGCGUUCCAUUAGGUUGUUGGCGGGGUAAUGGCCCACCAAGCCUUCGAUGGAUAGGGGUUCUGAGAGGAAGGUCCCCCACAUUGGAACUGAGACACGGUCCAA
rnacentral:rRNA from 1 species